GAUGAACGCUGGCGGCGUGCCUAAUACAUGCAAGUCGAGCGAACGGACGAGAAGCUUGCUUCUCUGAUGUUAGCGGCGGACGGGUGAGUAACACGUGGAUAACCUACCUAUAAGACUGGGAUAACUUCGGGAAACCGGAGCUAAUACCGGAUAAUAUUUUGAACCGCAUGGUUCAAAAGUGAAAGACGGUCUUGCUGUCACUUAUAGAUGGAUCCGCGCUGCAUUAGCUAGUUGGUAAGGUAACGGCUUACCAAGGCAACGAUGCAUAGCCGACCUGAGAGGGUGAUCGGCCACACUGGAACUGAGACACGGUCCAGACUCCUACGGGAGGCAGCAGUAGGGAAUCUUCCGCAAUGGGCGAAAGCCUGACGGAGCAACGCCGCGUGAGUGAUGAAGGUCUUCGGAUCGUAAAACUCUGUUAUUAGGGAAGAACAUAUGUGUAAGUAACUGUGCACAUCUUGACGGUACCUAAUCAGAAAGCCACGGCUAACUACGUGCCAGCAGCCGCGGUAAUACGUAGGUGGCAAGCGUUAUCCGGAAUUAUUGGGCGUAAAGCGCGCGUAGGCGGUUUUUUAAGUCUGAUGUGAAAGCCCACGGCUCAACCGUGGAGGGUCAUUGGAAACUGGAAAACUUGAGUGCAGAAGAGGAAAGUGGAAUUCCAUGUGUAGCGGUGAAAUGCGCAGAGAUAUGGAGGAACACCAGUGGCGAAGGCGACUUUCUGGUCUGUAACUGACGCUGAUGUGCGAAAGCGUGGGGAUCAAACAGGAUUAGAUACCCUGGUAGUCCACGCCGUAAACGAUGAGUGCUAAGUGUUAGGGGGUUUCCGCCCCCUAGUGCUGCAGCUAACGCAUUAAGCACUCCGCCUGGGGAGUACGACCGCAAGGUUGAAACUCAAAGGAAUUGACGGGGACCCGCACAAGCGGUGGAGCAUGUGGUUUAAUUCGAAGCAACGCGAAGAACCUUACCAAAUCUUGACAUCCUUUGACAACUCUAGAGAUAGAGCCUUCCCCUUCGGGGGGGCAAAGUGACAGGUGGUGCAUGGUUGUCGUCAGCUCGUGUCGUGAGAUGUUGGGUUAAGUCCCGCAACGAGCGCAACCCUUAAGCUUAGUUGCCAUCAUUAAGUUGGGCACUCUAAGUUGACUGCCGGUGACAAACCGGAGGAAGGUGGGGAUGACGUCAAAUCAUCAUGCCCCUUAUGAUUUGGGCUACACACGUGCUACAAUGGACAAUACAAAGGGCAGCGAAACCGCGAGGUCAAGCAAAUCCCAUAAAGUUGUUCUCAGUUCGGAUUGUAGUCUGCAACUCGACUACAUGAAGCUGGAAUCGCUAGUAAUCGUAGAUCAGCAUGCUACGGUGAAUACGUUCCCGGGUCU
rnacentral:rRNA from 1 species